rnacentral:rRNA from 1 species
GACGAACGCUGGCGGCGUGCCUAAUACAUGCAAGUUGAGCGCUGAAGGUUGGUACUUGUUCCUACUGGAUGAGCAGCGAACGGGUGAGUAACGCGUGGGUAAUCUGCCUUUGAGCGGGGGACAACAUUUGGAAACGAAUGCUAAUACCGCAUAAAAACUUUAAACACAAGUUUUAAGUUUGAAAGAUGCAAUUGCAUCACUCAAAGAUGAUCCCGCGUUGUAUUAGCUAGUUGGUGAGGUAAAGGCUCACCAAGGCGAUGAUACAUAGCCGACCUGAGAGGGGGGUCGGCCAAAAUGGGAAUGGGACACGGCCCAAACUCCUACGGGAGGCAGCAGGAGGGAAUCUUCGGGAAUGGACGAAAGGCUGAACGGGCAACGCCGCGGGAGGGAAGAAGGGUUUCGGAUCGUAAAACUCUGUUGGUAGAGAAGAACGUUGGUGAGAGUGGAAAGCUCAUCAAGUGACGGUAACUACCCAGAAAGGGGCGGCUAACUACGUG